UGGGGAAUUUUCCGCAAUGGGCGAAAGCCUGACGGAGCAAUACCGCGUGAGGGAGGAAGGCUCUUGGGUCGUAAACCUCUUUUGUCAGGGAAGAAGUUCUGACGGUACCUGACGAAUCAGCAUCGGCUAACUCCGUGCCAGCAGCCGCGGUAAUACGGAGGAUGCAAGCGUUAUCCGGAAUUAUUGGGCGUAAAGCGUCCGCAGGUGGCGUAUCAAGUCUGCUGUUAAAGACCGGGGCUAAACUCCGGAAAGGCAGUGGAAACUGAAACGCUAGAGUGCAGGAGGGGUAGAGGGAAUUCCCGGUGUAGCGGUGAAAUGCGUAGAUAUCGGGAAGAACAUCGGUGGCGAAAGCGCUCUACUGGACUGCAACUGACACUCAGGGACGAAAGCUAGGGGAGCGAAUGGGAUUAGAUACCCCAGUAGUC
rnacentral:rRNA from 1 species